GCCCCAUUAGCUCAGCUGGAUAGAGCUGCAGACUUCUAAUCUGUCGGUCGGAGGUUCGAGUCCUCCAUGGGGCG
rnacentral:tRNA from 1 species